UUCUGCCCCUCCCCCUCCUUAAAAACCACCCCCCCAAUUUGGUCCUCCCGCCCGCCAGGGAGCGCUGCUGCGCCUUCCCGCCCUGUUGAGGGCGAGGCGAGACCGGAAGUCGGCCAUGUUCGCCCUGGUGCACGACGGGAGCUGUAGUCACGCAAAUGACAAUCACUUCCGGCCACGUGCUUCUGAUGCAUGAUGGGAACUGUAGUUCAAAUUCAAAUGUAAAACCGGAAGUUGCUUGGCGGCCAUGUUGGCACCCGAUGCAUCCUGGGAGCUGUCGGUUUUUUUUAAAAAAGGGCGGAAGUUCGGCCAUGUUGGCGCCCGAUGCAUGCUGGGAGCUGUAGUUUGCCGUGACAAAGAACUCGGGCGGGGUCUCCGCCUCGUGCCCCGGGCGUUACUGGUCCGUACUGGAGGCAGCUGCUCGCCCCGCCCCCAUGACGUCACCCACACCGAGGCAUCAUGGGUAGGCGGCCGAAUUUACUGAGGGACGGUCACCCCCACGUCCGGGGGGCACCCAGGUGUCCAGGGAGGGUCCCCAGGUGUGCCAGGUGACCCCACAUGUCCAUUUGAAGGUCCCCAGGUGUCCCAGGUGUGUCCCAGGUGUGUCCCAGGUGUGUCCCCCGCUGUCCCGGCGGGUCCCCAGCUGUGCCAGGUGUCCCCAGGUGUUCACAGCAGGUCCUUCACGUGUCCAUUGCGGGGCUCCCAGCUGUCCCCAGGUGUGUCUCAGGUGUGUCCCCGCUGUCCCAGGUGUCCGUUGGGAGGUUCCCUGGUGUGUCCCAGGUGUC